rnacentral:piRNA from 1 species
UAUUAGAAUUUUUCGAACAAC